ACUUAAAUAGCUUAUUUAGAGCAUAGUAUUGAAGAUACUAAGGAAAUUUAGUUAAUUUUUAAGUG
rnacentral:tRNA from 1 species